rnacentral:tRNA from 1 species
GGGGCUGUGGCUCAGCGGUAGAGUGCUCGCCUAGCACGUGUGAGGCCCUGAGUUCGAUCCUCAGCACCA